GAUGAACGCUGACGGCGUGCCUAAUACAUGCAAGUCGAGCGAACGGACGAGAAGCUUGCUUCUCUGAUGUUAGCGGCGGACGGGUGAGUAACACGUGGAUAACCUACCUAUAAGACUGGGAUAACUUCGGGAAACCGGAGCUAAUACCGGAUAAUAUUUUGAACCGCAUGGUUCAAAAGUGAAAGACGGUCUUGCUGUCACUUAUAGAUGGAUCCGCGCUGCAUUAGCUAGUUGGUAAGGUAACGGCUUACCAAGGCAACGAUGCAUAGCCGACCUGAGAGGGUGAUCGGCCACACUGGAACUGAGACACGGUCCAGACUCCUACGGGAGGCAGCAGUAGGGAAUCUUACGCAAUGGGCGAAAGCCUGACGGAGCAACGCCGCGUGAGUGAUGAAGGUCUUCGGAUCGUAAAACUCUGUUAUUAGGGAAGAACAUAUGUGUAAGUAACUGUGCACAUCUUGACGGUACCUAAUCAGAAAGCCACGGCUAACUACGUG
rnacentral:rRNA from 1 species